AAUUGAAGAGUUUGAUCAUGGCUCAGAUUGAACGCUGGCGGCAGGCCUAACACAUGCAAGUCGAACGGUAACAGAAAGCAGCUUGCUGCUUUGCUGACGAGUGGCGGACGGGUGAGUAAUGUCUGGGAAACUGCCUGAUGGAGGGGGAUAACUACUGGAAACGGUAGCUAAUACCGCAUAACGUCGCAAGACCAAAGAGGGGGACCUUCGGGCCUCUUGCCAUCGGAUGUGCCCAGAUGGGAUUAGCUUGUUGGUGGGGUAACGGCUCACCAAGGCGACGAUCCCUAGCUGGUCUGAGAGGAUGACCAGCCACACUGGAACUGAGACACGGUCCAGACUCCUACGGGAGGCAGCAGUGGGGAAUAUUGCACAAUGGGCGCAAGCCUGAUGCAGCCAUGCCGCGUGUAUGAAGAAGGCCUUCGGGUUGUAAAGUACUUUCAGCGGGGAGGAAGGGAGUAAAGUUAAUACCUUUGCUCAUUGACGUUACCCGCAGAAGAAGCACCGGCUAACUCCGUGCCAGCAGCCGCGGUAAUACGGAGGGUGCAAGCGUUAAUCGGAAUUACUGGGCGUAAAGCGCACGCAGGCGGUUUGUUAAGUCAGAUGUGAAAUCCCCGGGCUCAACCUGGGAACUGCAUCUGAUACUGGCAAGCUUGAGUCUCGUAGAGGGGGGUAGAAUUCCAGGUGUAGCGGUGAAAUGCGUAGAGAUCUGGAGGAAUACCGGUGGCGAAGGCGGCCCCCUGGACGAAGACUGACGCUCAGGUGCGAAAGCGUGGGGAGCAAACAGGAUUAGAUACCCUGGUAGUCCACGCCGUAAACGAUGUCGACUUGGAGGUUGUGCCCUUGAGGCGUGGCUUCCGGAGCUAACGCGUUAAGUCGACCGCCUGGGGAGUACGGCCGCAAGGUUAAAACUCAAAUGAAUUGACGGGGGCCCGCACAAGCGGUGGAGCAUGUGGUUUAAUUCGAUGCAACGCGAAGAACCUUACCUGGUCUUGACAUCCACAGAACUUUUCAGAGAUGAGAAUGUGCCUUCGGGAACCGUGAGACAGGUGCUGCAUGGCUGUCGUCAGCUCGUGUUGUGAAAUGUUGGGUUAAGUCCCGCAACGAGCGCAACCCUUAUCCUUUGUUGCCAGCGGUCCGGCCGGGAACUCAAAGGAGACUGCCAGUGAUAAACUGGAGGAAGGUGGGGAUGACGUCAAGUCAUCAUGGCCCUUACGACCAGGGCUACACACGUGCUACAAUGGCGCAUACAAAGAGAAGCGACCUCGCGAGAGCAAGCGGACCUCAUAAAGUGCGUCGUAGUCCGGAUUGGAGUCUGCAACUCGACUCCAUGAAGUCGGAAUCGCUAGUAAUCGUGGAUCAGAAUGCCACGGUGAAUACGUUCCCGGGCCUUGUACACACCGCCCGUCACACCAUGGGAGUGGGUUGCAAAAGAAGUAGGUAGCUUAACCUUCGGGAGGGCGCUUACCACUUUGUGAUUCAUGACUGGGGUGAAGUCGUAACAAGGUAACCGUAGGGGAACCUGCGGUUGGAUCACCUCCUUA
rnacentral:rRNA from 1 species